rfam:Lachnospiraceae bacterium JC7 contig00023, whole genome shotgun sequence.
GAUCACAUUCGGCAAAACCGGAGAAAUCCGGCGACGCAAAGCUAUAGGGACCGAAAGGUCAGCCAGUUGCAAUC